ACACCUAAGUGGCUAAAGAAAAUGUUUUCAACAAUCACUAAGAGCGAGAGGAAUGGACCUGUGUUCCGUUUUUUCAUGGAUCUUGGUGAUGCAGUUUCAUAUGUUAAAAACUAAAUAUUCCAAGCGGAGUGGUUGGGGCUUGUCGGCUUGAUUUGGCAUAUGAGCAUUUCAAGGAGAAGCCUCAUUUAUUUCAGUUUGUUCCAAAUGAAAGACAGGUGAA